rnacentral:misc_RNA from 1 species
UAGUUAAAAUUUUUAGGUUUACACUCAAGCAACCUCUUGCCAAUUGAAAUAUUGACAUCAUUUUAAUGUUCAUCUAACAAGAAAACUAGAUUCAGUUGCUGGCCUAUGAUCAACAGAUUUUUGUAAGUGUAUGAUCAAGAAUGUAAAAGCACACAAUACCCUACAGGGCGACAAAAGCAAAAAGUUACCUGAGCAGGGCUUGCUGCAAUAAGCAUUCCCCCAACUCCUCCACCAAUUACCCGACCAUCAGGACUAGCAAGAGAGACA